UCUAAACUGAGACUGCGCGUGGCGUCAUUGAGACGAGACGCGGGAGCAAUGAAAGAGACACGCAUUGCUGAUCGCGGGAGAACGAACAAAGAUCAAUCUGAGGCAAAUAUCUCAAUAAUCCUUUCUGAUAUUCGAGUAAUAUCAUGUAUAAUAUGUUGCAGACCUAUUUAACUAUAUCGGGUUAUUUUUAGAACGUGAUUGUUGAUGUUGCCGCUGAUGAUUCCUAAUUGCGAACCCCUGUAAAAUCCAGUGCGGGUGUAAAAGCAUAUGAAACCCCCGGAUUUGGAGACCAUUGUGAGAGUGUUGAGAUUUUGUCUCAGGAGACAAGUGUGAGAAGCAGGAGACGCAAGCAAAAGUCUCCAUUUGAUGUUGAGUUUUUAAUUGACAGGAGGGUGAACGAGGGGACUCAAACCUGCAGAACCUGUGUGUCCUGAUCUAGUGCACUACCACUGUGUCACUGAUGAUGUUACACUGAUAAUGGAGGAGAAAUGCUGCUCUUUCACAUGGAGUUCAGCAUACAGACAGAAGGAGGCAGUAUUACAUCAAAACUGUCUGCAGACGUCAUCAAUCUGUUGAGUUUCUCUCUCAAAGAGCACAUCAUAAGAAAUACUGUCAGAAAAAGCAUCAAUCACUCACUAAUGAACAGUAAAACAGAGAAAACAGUGAUUUCACAGCAUGUGACAGUAGUAUCAGAAUGUUCGGCCUUCUGUGAUUCACUUACAAAGACACACUUGAUCAUCUGUUUGAUCAUGACAUGAGGAGGAUUCAAUAAAAUCAUCAGAAUGACUUCAGCACAGCAUUAAAGUCUCAGAAGUGACCACUGACACAUCAGAAGAUGACACACACACAUGAAAACAACUGAAGAAAGGAUGAUCCAUGAACGAAGCCCAUCAAAUGAACACAACACCACAGAUCACAGAGAUCCUCUACCAAACCUCUACUGCUGAAGGAGCCCAUGCCUCUUAACCUCAAACUAGGGCUUGUAAUGACAGAGCUGAUCAAUAAAGAAGACCCUCUUUUGUUCCACAAACUUUAAGAUCAAAUGGCUAAGUAACGCCUUUGUGACAUUAAUGCAUAAAUCCCCGGUCAUAUCAGGAGACGGUCUCAAGGCCCAAAUCAACACAGACCUAAACAGUGACCUCCUCCAGGACAUCUCCUAUCCAGCUGCACAAUCCAGAGACAUCUUCUCUUAAACCAGCAGAAACUUCAAUGAAUUCACUCAAGAUCUUAACAAACAACGUUCUCAAAAUUGCUGCCAAUAAGCUGCAUUAAUUUGCCUUAGAUAUAUCUUAUGUACCAUGUGUGUUUUAUAUAACCUCUGGAGAUCUUUCUCUGUGUUAAACAUUUACAGCUAAAUUCAUAUGGACUUCUACCUCAAUUAUGGGAAGUAUACAUUAUUAGAAAAUUACUCACUGCUGUUGACUAAAGAACUUUUGUAGCUUUAAUAAUGAUUAUCUAUAUUUAAUUUAGGCUAUAAAUUAUGCAGUGCAGACUGUUUGAUAACUUUAUUCAAUUUCUGUAUUUGUCCUAUCUGUUAGACGGUA